rnacentral:lncRNA from 1 species
UCCAGACGGGAGCUGUCAGCCAGCACAGCCACGCUGGAAGAGCUGGCCCAUAGGCGAGAAGGAAGGGGGCCCUAGGAUGCGGAAGGCAGAGCUUGGCACAAGAGAACCGGAGAGGCAGAGCAUCCUUCCUCUUGGGCCUCACUCCAUCCUGUGAUGGUCCAGGCUUCCGGGCGGAAGAGCACAGAGGACUUCCUUCCAUGAGGGCCUCUCCACCCUUCCUCUGAGAGGUGGCCCUGCAGUCUUCAACACGGAGAAAGUCAGGGGGCUGAGGGUGAGUGAAAGGCCAUUUCCUUUGCCCGGCCUGUCACCUGCUCCAGGAGAGGUAGGUGGCUCUCCUCACAGUCCUGGAGAUGCCUGCCCGGACUCUGGCCCAGGUGGCCUUCCUGAUGCGCCGGCUGAGAGUGCUGGGACCUGUCAGAGCAGCUGACACCUGCUUAUUCAGUCACCCUGAGAAAAACCUAGAAUCAGCUUCAGAUACGGAUUGCACGGUGGAGGAAUUAAAGGAAAGGAGGCCAUUAACUUCAGAUGUCCGGUGGCCAGAGUUCCCAAACAGAGAAGAACCGUGCCAGGGGCUUGGCCAGGACUGCCCUCAGGACAAGCACGCUGUGUCACAAAUGAGGAGUCCACCACACCAAAGAAUUACGGAGUCUACGACAUGCGCAGUGGGAAUGAUGAAAAGCCCUGAGACAGCCCCAUCCAGGACAGCAGGGAAG